rnacentral:rRNA from 1 species
GGGUUGCAAAAGAAGUAGGUAGCUUAACCUUCGGGAGGGCGCUUACCACUUUGUGAUUCAUGACUGGGGUGAAGUCGUAACAAGGUAACCGUAGGGGAACCCGCGGUUGGAUCACCUCCUUA